GUGGGGAAUAUUGGACAAUGGGCGAAAGCCUGAUCCAGCCAUGCCGCGUGUGUGAAGAAGGUCUUCGGAUUGUAAAGCACUUUAAGUUGGGAGGAAGGGCAGUAAGUUAAUACCUUGCUGUUUUGACGUUACCGACAGAAUAAGCACCGGCUAACUUCGUGCCAGCAGCCGCGGUAAUACGAAGGGUGCAAGCGUUAAUCGGAAUUACUGGGCGUACAGCGCGCGUAGGUGGUUUUGUAAGUUGGAGGUGAAAUCCCCGGGCUCAACCUGGGAACUGCAUCCAAAACUGCAUGACUAGAGUACGGUAGAGGGUAGUGGAAUUUCCUGUGUAGCGGUGAAAUGCGUAGAUAUAGGAAGGAACACCAGUGGCGAAGGCGACUACCUGGACUGAUACUGACACUGAGGUGCGAAAGCGUGGGGAGCAAACAGGAUUAGAUACCCCAGUAGUCC
rnacentral:rRNA from 1 species